GGUUAAGCGACUAAGCGUACACGGUGGAUGCCCUGGCAGUCAGAGGCGAUGAAGGACGUGCUAAUCUGCGAUAAGCGUCGGUAAGGUGAUAUGAACCGUUAUAACCGGCGAUUUCCGAAUGGGGAAACCCAGUGUGUUUCGACACACUAUCAUUAACUGAAUCCAUAGGUUAAUGAGGCGAACCGGGGGAACUGAAACAUCUAAGUACCCCGAGGAAAAGAAAUCAACCGAGAUUCCCCCAGUAGCGGCGAGCGAACGGGGAGCAGCCCAGAGCCUGAAUCAGUGUGUGUGUUAGUGGAAGCGUCUGGAAAGGCGCGCGAUACAGGGUGACAGCCCCGUACACAAAAAUGCACAUGCUGUGAGCUCGAUGAGUAGGGCGGGACACGUGGUAUCCUGUCUGAAUAUGGGGGGACCAUCCUCCAAGGCUAAAUACUCCUGACUGACCGAUAGUGAACCAGUACCGUGAGGGAAAGGCGAAAAGAACCCCGGCGAGGGGAGUGAAAAAGAACCUGAAACCGUGUACGUACAAGCAGUGGGAGCACGCUUAGGCGUGUGACUGCGUACCUUUUGUAUAAUGGGUCAGCGACUUAUAUUCUGUAGCAAGGUUAACCGAAUAGGGGAGCCGAAGGGAAACCGAGUCUUAACUGGGCGUUAAGUUGCAGGGUAUAGACCCGAAACCCGGUGAUCUAGCCAUGGGCAGGUUGAAGGUUGGGUAACACUAACUGGAGGACCGAACCGACUAAUGUUGAAAAAUUAGCGGAUGACUUGUGGCUGGGGGUGAAAGGCCAAUCAAACCGGGAGAUAGCUGGUUCUCCCCGAAAGCUAUUUAGGUAGCGCCUCGUGAAUUCAUCUCCGGGGGUAGAGCACUGUUUCGGCAAGGGGGUCAUCCCGACUUACCAACCCGAUGCAAACUGCGAAUACCGGAGAAUGUUAUCACGGGAGACACACGGCGGGUGCUAACGUCCGUCGUGAAGAGGGAAACAACCCAGACCGCCAGCUAAGGUCCCAAAGUCAUGGUUAAGUGGGAAACGAUGUGGGAAGGCCCAGACAGCCAGGAUGUUGGCUUAGAAGCAGCCAUCAUUUAAAGAAAGCGUAAUAGCUCACUGGUCGAGUCGGCCUGCGCGGAAGAUGUAACGGGGCUAAACCAUGCACCGAAGCUGCGGCAGCGACACUAUGUGUUGUUGGGUAGGGGAGCGUUCUGUAAGCCUGUGAAGGUGUGCUGUGAGGCAUGCUGGAGGUAUCAGAAGUGCGAAUGCUGACAUAAGUAACGAUAAAGCGGGUGAAAAGCCCGCUCGCCGGAAGACCAAGGGUUCCUGUCCAACGUUAAUCGGGGCAGGGUGAGUCGACCCCUAAGGCGAGGCCGAAAGGCGUAGUCGAUGGGAAACAGGUUAAUAUUCCUGUACUUGGUGUUACUGCGAAGGGGGGACGGAGAAGGCUAUGUUGGCCGGGCGACGGUUGUCCCGGUUUAAGCGUGUAGGCUGGUUUUCCAGGCAAAUCCGGAAAAUCAAGGCUGAGGCGUGAUGACGAGGCACUACGGUGCUGAAGCAACAAAUGCCCUGCUUCCAGGAAAAGCCUCUAAGCAUCAGGUAACAUCAAAUCGUACCCCAAACCGACACAGGUGGUCAGGUAGAGAAUACCAAGGCGCUUGAGAGAACUCGGGUGAAGGAACUAGGCAAAAUGGUGCCGUAACUUCGGGAGAAGGCACGCUGAUAUGUAGGUGAAGUCCCUUGCGGAUGGAGCUGAAAUCAGUCGAAGAUACCAGCUGGCUGCAACUGUUUAUUAAAAACACAGCACUGUGCAAACACGAAAGUGGACGUAUACGGUGUGACGCCUGCCCGGUGUCGGAAGGUUAAUUGAUGGGGUCAGCGCAAGCGAAGCUCUUGAUCGAAGCCCCGGUAAACGGCGGCCGUAACUAUAACGGUCCUAAGGUAGCGAAAUUCCUUGUCGGGUAAGUUCCGACCUGCACGAAUGGCGUAAUGAUGGCCAGGCUGUCUCCACCCGAGACUCAGUGAAAUUGAACUCGCUGUGAAGAUGCAGUGUACCCGCGGCAAGACGGAAAGACCCCGUGAACCUUUACUAUAGCUUGACACUGAACAUUGAGCCUUGAUGUGUAGGAUAGGUGGGAGGCUUUGAAGUGUGGACGCCAGUCUGCAUGGAGCCGACCUUGAAAUACCACCCUUUAAUGUUUGAUGUUCUAACGUGGACCCGUGAUCCGGGUUGCGGACAGUGUCUGGUGGGUAGUUUGACUGGGGCGGUCUCCUCCUAAAGAGUAACGGAGGAGCACGAAGGUUGGCUAAUCCUGGUCGGACAUCAGGAGGUUAGUGCAAUGGCAUAAGCCAGCUUGACUGCGAGCGUGACGGCGCGAGCAGGUGCGAAAGCAGGUCAUAGUGAUCCGGUGGUUCUGAAUGGAAGGGCCAUCGCUCAACGGAUAAAAGGUACUCCGGGGAUAACAGGCUGAUACCGCCCAAGAGUUCAUAUCGACGGCGGUGUUUGGCACCUCGAUGUCGGCUCAUCACAUCCUGGGGCUGAAGUAGGUCCCAAGGGUAUGGCUGUUCGCCAUUUAAAGUGGUACGCGAGCUGGGUUUAGAACGUCGUGAGACAGUUCGGUCCCUAUCUGCCGUGGGCGCUGGAGAACUGAGGGGGGCUGCUCCUAGUACGAGAGGACCGGAGUGGACGCAUCACUGGUGUUCGGGUUGUCAUGCCAAUGGCACUGCCCGGUAGCUAAAUGCGGAAGAGAUAAGUGCUGAAAGCAUCUAAGCACGAAACUUGCCCCGAGAUGAGUUCUCCCUGACCCUUUAAGGGUCCUGAAGGAACGUUGAAGACGACGACGUUGAUAGGCCGGGUGUGUAAGCGCAGCGAUGCGUUGAGCUAACCGGUACUAAUGAACCGUGAGGCUUAACCUU
rnacentral:rRNA from 1 species